rnacentral:rRNA from 1 species
AGAGUUUGAUUCCUGGCUCAGAGUGAACGCUGGCGGCGUGCCUAAUACAUGCAAGUCGAACGAUGAAGCUUCUAGCUUGCUAGAAUGCUGAUUAGUGGCGCACGGGUGAGUAACGCAUAGGUCAUGUGCCUCUUAGUUUGGGAUAGCCAUUGGAAACGAUGAUUAAUACCAGAUACUCCCUACGGGGGAAAGAUUUAUCGCUAAGAGAUCAGCCUAUGUCCUAUCAGCUUGUUGGUAAGGUAAUGGCUUACCAAGGCUAUGACGGGUAUCCGGCCUGAGAGGGUGAACGGACACACUGGAACUGAGACACGGUCCAGACUCCUACGGGAGGCAGCAGUAGGGAAUAUUGCUCAAUGGGGGAAACCCUGAAGCAGCAACGCCGCGUGGAGGAUGAAGGUUUUAGGAUUGUAAACUCCUUUUGUUAGAGAAGAUAAUGACGGUAUCUAACGAAUAAGCACCGGCUAACUCCGUGCCAGCAGCCGCGGUAAUACGGAGGGUGCAAGCGUUACUCGGAAUCACUGGGCGUAAAGAGCGCGUAGGCGGGAUAGUCAGUCAGGUGUGAAAUCCUAUGGCUUAACCAUAGAACUGCAUUUGAAACUACUAUUCUAGAGUGUGGGAGAGGUAGGUGGAAUUCUUGGUGUAGGGGUAAAAUCCGUAGAGAUCAAGAGGAAUACUCAUUGCGAAGGCGACCUGCUGGAACAUUACUGACGCUGAUUGUGCGAAAGCGUGGGGAGCAAACAGGAUUAGAUACCCUGGUAGUCCACGCCCUAAACGAUGGAUGCUAGUUGUUGGAGGGCUUAGUCUCUCCAGUAAUGCAGCUAACGCAUUAAGCAUCCCGCCUGGGGAGUACGGUCGCAAGAUUAAAACUCAAAGGAAUAGACGGGGACCCGCACAAGCGGUGGAGCAUGUGGUUUAAUUCGAAGAUACACGAAGAACCUUACCUAGGCUUGACAUUGAGAGAAUCCGCUAGAAAUAGUGGAGUGUCUAGCUUGCUAGACCUUGAAAACAGGUGCUGCACGGCUGUCGUCAGCUCGUGUCGUGAGAUGUUGGGUUAAGUCCCGCAACGAGCGCAACCCCCUUUCUUAGUUGCUAACAGGUCAUGCUGAGAACUCUAAGGAUACUGCCUCCGUAAGGAGGAGGAAGGUGGGGACGACGUCAAGUCAUCAUGGCCCUUACGCCUAGGGCUACACACGUGCUACAAUGGGGUGCACAAAGAGAAGCAAUACUGCGAAGUGGAGCCAAUCUUCAAAACGCCUCUCAGUUCGGAUUGUAGGCUGCAACUCGCCUGCAUGAAGCUGGAAUCGCUAGUAAUCGCAAAUCAGCCAUGUUGCGGUGAAUACGUUCCCGGGUCUUGUACUCACCGCCCGUCACACCAUGGGAGUUG